CCCAGACUCCUACGGGAGGCAGCAGUGAGGAAUAUUGGUCAAUGGGCUUACGCCUGAACCAGCCAAGUCGCGUGAGGGAAGACUGCCCUAUGGGUUGUAAACCUCUUUUGUCAGGGAGCAAUUGGCGCUACGUGUAGCGUUAUCGAGAGUACCUGAAGAAAAAGCAUCGGCUAACUCCGUGCCAGCAGCCGCGGUAAUACGGAGGAUGCGAGCGUUAUCCGGAUUUAUUGGGUUUAAAGGGUGCGCAGGCGGAUUUUUAAGUCAGCGGUCAAAUCGUGGGGCUCAACCCCAUCCAGCCGUUGAAACUGGGGAUCUAGAGUGUGCGAGAGGUAUGCGGAAUGCGUGGUGUAGCGGUGAAAUGCAUAGAUAUCACGCAGAACCCCGAUUGCGAAGGCAGCUUACUAAACUAUAACUGACACUGAAGCACGAAGGCGUGGGGAUCAAACAGGAUUAGAUACCCGCGUA
rnacentral:rRNA from 1 species